rnacentral:miRNA from 1 species
UAAUACGUCGUUGGUGUUUCCAU